UUCCUUGGAACAGAGUUUUAGAAAUGUUGAGCUUGUGUAUCUUACCCUUCUUCUCAGUCUUCACUCCUGUAUACAUAUGUGCUUCAAAGAUGAAAAAAACUAAGACCCGAAGAGAUUAUGUGACUGUUCAAACUACACAGCUACUCAUCUUUACUGCAUCAACAAAAGGACAGUUUUAAAAAUAAGGACCUUACAAACUCAAUAAGCCACAGAUACAAGAUGAAAAGGAAGAAAGAAGUUUAAGAAAAGUAGAAAGAAUUAAGAUAAAUGGAGCUCCCUGCUUGGCUAGGGCACUUUCCUGGGCUGAACCACGCUUUCCAUCUCAGAUUCAAAUGCAUCCUGUUAAAGAGCCGUGGGUGAUUAGAUCAUAAAUCUGCAUGACCUUGAAGAUGAUGAAGGAAAUGCUUCUCUGUAAAGUGAUCAUCAUGCUGCCAGUUCCAUCAUUUACACAUUUUUACAGGUGCAAGGAAAAGGUUUAAUUUCAGAUUGCUUGCAAAAAUCACUCAAAAUAAAAUAUUACUUUAUAAGA